AUGGGCAUCCCAAUGGCCUUCUCCACCCUCCUCCUCCUCCUCGCGGCCAUCCCAGGUCUCCGGGCGGCCGUGACGCUGGUGGAGACCGGAGGUGACCUCCAGAGCCCUGGUGGGUCCCUGACGCUCGUCUGCAAGGCCUCGGGCUUCACCCUCAGCAGCUACAACAUGGGAUGGGCGCGACAAGCACCAGGGCAGGGGCUCGAAUGGGUCGCAAGCAUUAACACUGGUGGUAGCACCUACUACGCGCCAUCGGUGAAGGGUCGCUUCACCAUCUCCAAGGACAACUCCCAGAGCACGGUCACGCUGCAGAUGAGCAGCCUCACGACCGACGACACGGCCACCUACUACUGCGCGAAAGACAGGAGGACGCUGGUUUCUUCUCACUGUGGUCUUCCUGGUGGUACUGAUGCGUGGGGCAGCGGCACCAUCGUCACCGUCUCCUCCGGUUCCCGCGUCCCCCCCGUCCUGUUCCCGUUGUCUCCGUGCGGCUCCUCCUCCAGCUCCGGCUUCUACUCGGUGGCCUGCUUGGCCGUGGGCUUCCUGCGCCCCGGGCCCCCCUUCUCCUGGAGCGACCGCCUGAACCGCAGCCUGCCCCACAGCGCGCCCCACGGCGCCCGCACCUACCCCGGCGCGGCGCGGGCGGCCGCCAGCCACCUCCUGCUGCCCCCCGAGGAAGGGAAGAGCCUGCAGCCCUUCUACUGCAGGGUCAAGGACAUCGUGGUGGCCCUGGAGAACCCCGGUUCCAGCCGCCCGGCUCCCCCCGUGCUCCCCACGCUCACCCUGUACGCCCCAUCCCGGGAGGAAUUCCAAGGUCCUUACCGCAACGCCACCAUCUUGUGCCACGUCCAAGGUCCUCCCAAUCCUCCCAUCCAAUGGCUCAAGAACGGCCUCGACCUCCAAGACGCUGCCAUCACCGAGACCUUGGCCAAAGGGGGCCUCUCUGUCACCAACAGCCGCCUGGUGGUCACCGAAGCGGAGUGGAACUCGGGGGCCAUCUACACGUGUCAAGUGGACGGGGAGAUGAGGAACAUCAGCAAAGCUCAGGAAUGUAACUACGAGUCCCUCAGUGAAGACAUCACGGUGAAGGUCACCCCCCCGCUCUUCAUGGACAUCUUCAAGGAGAAGGCGGCCAAGCUGACGUGCCGAGUGCUCAACGUGGCCAACGUCCACGGCUUGGACAUCUCCUGGUGGAAGGACGACGGCACCGAGCUGCCCACCAACAGGUCCCCUCACGUCCUCGAGGCCAACGGGCUCUUCAGCGUGGUGGCCGUGGCCAACGUCUGCACCACGGACUGGGACAAGGGGGACACGUUCACCUGCAGGGUCACCCACCCCGACAUGCUCUUCCCUGCCCAGGCCACCCUGCAGAAGGCAACCGUCAGCGGCGCCAAAGCUCCCUCCGUCUUCGUCUUCCCACCUCCAUCGGAGCAGCUUUCCAUGCAGGAAUCAGCCACCAUCACGUGCCUGGCGAAGGGCUUCAACCCUCCGGAUCUCUUCAUCCAAUGGCUCCGCAAUGGGGAUCCCAUUCCCGCCUCCGACUACGUGACGUUGCCGCCGGCGGCCGAAUCCCACCUCGUCGCUUCCAAGUCCCAUCUUCCCGCUUCCAAAUCCCGUCUUCCCGCUUCCUACUUCACCUACAGCGCCUUGACGGUCCCCGGAGAGGAUUGGUCCAGCGGGAAUGUCUUCACGUGCCUGGUGGGACAUGAGAAGAUCCCAAUGCAAGUGGUGCAGAGAUCCGUGGAUAAAGCCUCGGGUAAACCCACCGCCGUCAACGAGGAGGAAGAUCUAGAGAACCUCUGGGCCACCGCCUCGACCUUCAUCGUCCUCUUCAUCCUCAGCCUCUUCUACAGCGCCACCGUCACCUUGAUCAAGGUGAAAUGACCCCAUUCCCGAUGGAAUUCCACCUUCUCAUCCCCUCCAACGCUGGAUAUCAAUGGAAUUCUCUGGGAUUCCUGUCCUUUCCC